rnacentral:misc_RNA from 1 species
GUGAAUCAUCGAAUCUUUGAACGCAAAUUGCGCCUCCUGGUAUCCCGGGAAGUAUGCCUGUUUGAGGGUCAGUAUUAACAAAAAAUCGGGUUGGUUGCAAAUUGUGACGUUUCCGGCGUUUGGGCGGAUCUUAACUUUUUUGGUUAAGGGGCUUAAAAUUGACCUUUUUUGCUCAUUUUGAGACGUACUGAAAUUUUUUUUUAUUCGU